rnacentral:rRNA from 1 species
CGAACGCUGGCGGCAGGCCUAACACAUGCAAGUCGAGCGCCCAGCAAUGGGAGCGGCAGACGGGAGAGUAACACGUGGGAACAUGCCCUUCAGUUCGGAACAACCAAGGGAAACUUUGGCUAAUACCGGAUACGCCCUUACGGGGAAAGAUUUAUCGCUGAAGGAUUGGCCCGCGUUAGAUUAGCUAGUUGGUGAGGUAAUGGCUCACCAAGGCUACGAUCUAUAGCUGGUCUGAGAGGAUGAUCAGCCUCACUGGGACUGAGACACGGCCCAGACUCCUACGGGAGGCAGCAGUGGGGAAUAUUGGACAAUGGGCGCAAGCCUGAUCCAGCCAUGCCGCGUGGAUGAUGAAGGCCCUAGGGUUGUAAAGUCCUUUUAACGGGGAAGAUAAUGACGGUACCCGUAGAAUAAGCCCCGGCUAACUUCGUGCCAGCCGCCGCAGUAAAAC